AUGCACGCUGGCGGCGUGCCUAAUACCUGCAAGUCGCGCGAACAGACGAGGAGCUUGCUCCUCUGACGUUAGCGGCGGACGGGUGAGUAACACGUGGAUAACCUACCUAUAAGACUGGGAUAACUUCGGGAAACCGGAGCUAAUACCGGAUAAUAUAUUGAACCGCAUGGUUCAAUAGUGAAAGACGGUUUUGCUGUCACUUAUAGAUGGAUCCGCGCCGCAUUAGCUAGUUGGUAAGGUAACGGCUUACCAAGGCGACGAUGCGUAGCCGACCUGAGAGGGCGAUCGGCCACACUGGAACUGAGACACGGUCCAGACUCCUACGGGAGGCAGCAGUAGGGAAUCUUCCGCAAUGGGCGAAAGCCUGACGGAGCAACGCCGCGUGAGUGAUGAAGGUCUUCGGAUCGUAAAACUCUGUUAUUAGGGAAGAACAAAUGUGUAAGUAACUAUGCACGUCUUGACGGUACCUAAUCAGAAAGCCACGGCUAACUACGUG
rnacentral:rRNA from 1 species